rnacentral:rRNA from 1 species
UAGUCCACGCCGUAAACGAUGAUCACUCGUCAUUGGCGAUACACUGUCAGUGACCAAGCGAAAGUGUUAAGUGAUCCACCUGGGGAGUACGGUCGCAAGAUUGAAACUCAAAGGAAUUGACGGGGGCCCGCACAAGCGGUGGAGCAUGUGGUUUAAUUCGAUGAUACGCGAGGAACCUUACCAGGGCUUAAAUGCAUAUUGACAGAUUGGGAAACCAGUCCUUCUUCGGACAAUUUGCAAGGUGCUGCAUGGUUGUCGUCAGCUCGUGCCGUGAGGUGUCGGGUUAAGUCCCAUAACGAGCGCAACCCCUACCCUUAGUUGCCAGCGGAUAAUGCCGGGGACUCUGAGGGAACUGCCGGUGCAAACCGUGAGGAAGGUGGGGAUGACGUCAAAUCAUCACGGCCCUUACGUCCUGGGCUACACACGUGCUACAAUGGUGCAUACAGAGGGCAGCUACCUGGUGACAGGAUGCGAAUCUCGAAAGUGCAUCUCAGUUC